rnacentral:rRNA from 1 species
UACAGAGGGUGCUAGCGUUGUUCGGAAUUACUGGGCGUAAAGGGCGCGUAGGCGGCCUGUUAAGUCGAACGUGAAAUCCCCGGGCUCAACCCGGGAACUGCGUCCGAUACUGGCAGGCUUGAAUCCGGGAGAGGGAUGUGGAAUUCCAGGUGUAGCGGUGAAAUGCGUAGAUAUCUGGAGGAACACCGGUGGCGAAGGCGGCAUCCUGGACCGGUAUUGACGCUGAGGCGCGAAAGCCAGGGGAGCAAACGGG